UACGUAGGGUGCAAGCGUUAUCCGGAAUUAUUGGGCGUAAAGAGCUCGUAGGCGGUUUGUCGCGUCUGCUGUGAAAACUGGAGGCUCAACCUCCAGCCUGCAGUGGGUACGGGCAGACUAGAGUGCGGUAGGGGAGAUUGGAAUUCCUGGUGUAGCGGUGAAAUGCGUAGAUAUCAGGAGGAACACCGGUGGCGAAGGCGGCUACCUGGACAGAAACUGACGCUGAGGCGCGAAAGCUAGGGGAGCAAACAGG
rnacentral:rRNA from 1 species